AACGAACGCUGGCGGCAGGCUUAACACAUGCAAGUCGAACGCCCUAGCAAUAGGGAGUGGCGCACGGGUGAGUAACGCGUGGGAAUGUACCGUUUAGUGGGGGAUAACCAAGGGAAACUUUGGCUAAUACCGCAUACGCCCUUCGGGGGAAAGAUUUAUCGCUAAACGAUCAGCCCGCGUGAGAUUAGGUAGUUGGUGGGGUAACGGCCUACCAAGCCGACGAUCUCUAGCUGGUCUGAGAGGAUGAUCAGCCACACUGGAACGGGGACACGGUCCAGGCUCCUACGGGGGGCAACAGUGAGGAAUAUUGGACAAUGGGGGCAACCCUGAUCCACCCAUGCCGCGUGAGGGAUGAAGGCCUUAGGGUUGUAAAGCUCUUUUACCGAUGAAGAUAAUGACGGUAGUCGGAGAAAAAGCCCCGGCUAACUUCGUGCCAGCAGCCGCCGUAA
rnacentral:rRNA from 1 species